UCCACCAAGUACAGCCCGUACUUCCUAAUGUAUAAUAGGCACCCCCGUCUACCUGAGGCAUUGAAUGCCUGUGAGUCAGAUGCCACCUCUCUAGAGUUGGCAGACCCAGACGAGGAGAUGGAGCUGAAGGUGGCUGGGGUCAAGGCCCUCAAUGAACAGGUAAGGAAGAAUAUUGAACGGGCUCAAGCCAAACAAAAGAAGGCUUUUGAAGCAAACAAAAAAAAAAGGGGUGCGCCAGGGUUCGGUGAAGGCAGGGGAUGAGGUCCUGAUUGAGGAGCCCCCCAAAAAGAUAAGGAAGGGAAAUUGUCUGGAGGAUCGGCAUCAAGGGCCAUUCACCGUGCAAUCGUUGACAGAGAAGGGUGUGGCAAGUGUCAAUAUCUCUGGGAAAAUCAGAAAGAUGAAUGUGUCACGGCUGAGGCCCUACUUUCGGCCACAAGACCACAGCUCAAAGGGCAGCCGUGAUGCUGUGCUGGUGGACCACCUGUAUGCCAGGGCAGCUCCACCACCAGCAGCAGCUCCACCAC